rnacentral:rRNA from 1 species
GGUGAACGCUGGCGGCGUGCUUAAGACAUGCAAGUCGAACGGCAGUCUUCGGACUGUAGUGGCGCACGGGUGAGUAACGCGUAACUGACCUACCCCAAAGUCGCGGAUAACGAUUCGAAAGAAUCGCUAAUACGUGAUGUGCUGUCAGAUUGUGUUCUGCCAGUAAAGAUUGAUUGCUUUGGGAUGGGGUCGCGUUCCAUCAGCUAGUUGGUGGGGUAAAGGCCCACCAAGGCGACGACGGAUAGCCGGCCUGAGAGGGUGGCCGGCCACAGGGGCACUGAGACACGGGGCCCACUCCUGCGGGAGGCAGCAGUUAGGCAUCUUCCACGAUGGGCGAAAGCCUGAUGGAGCGACGCCGCGUGAGGGGUGAAGGUCUUCGGAUCGUAAACCUCUGAAUCAGGGACGAAAGACACGUCGGUGGGAUGACGGUACCUGAGUAAUAGCACCGGCUAACUCCGUGCCAGCCGCCGCCGUAACAC